ACCUUGAUAGCAGAGUCAGUAAAGCAUGGGACUCUUAAUCCCAGGGUUGUGGGUCCAAGCCCACAUUUGGGUG